rnacentral:tRNA from 1 species
GGUGAUAUAGCUCAGUUGGUUAGAGCACAGCAUUCAUAAUGCUGGGGUCGGUGGUUCAAGUCCACCUGUCACCACCA